rnacentral:rRNA from 1 species
UAGGGAAUCUUCGGCAAUGGGGGGAACCCUGACCGAGCAACGCCGCGUGAGUGAAGAAGGUUUUCGGAUCGUAAAGCUCUGUUGUUAAGGAAGAACGAGUGUGAGAAUGGAAAGUUCAUGCUGUGACGGUACUUAACCAGAAAGGGACGGCUAACUACGUGCCAGCAGCCGCGGUAAUACGUAGGUCCCGAGCGUUGUCCGGAUUUAUUGGGCGUAAAGCGAGCGCAGGCGGUUAGAAAAGUCUGAAGUGAAAGGCAGUGGCUCAACCAUUGUAGGCUUUGGAAACUGUUUAACUUGAGUGCAGGAGAGAAAAGUGGAAUUCCUAGUGUAGCGGUGAAAUGCGUAGAGAUUAGGAGGAACACCGGUGGCGAAAGCGGCUUUUUGGCCUGCAACUGACACUGAGGCGCGAAAGCGUGGGGAGCAAACAGG